GAAGGUUUGGCGGCGACACCUAUUAGAAGAGAGAGACAGAUGGCCUUACCUCUCAGCUCCUGCGUCCACAGCUGUGAGUGGAGGGAAGAAGACCUCCCUCACUAGGCUAAGGUAGAUGAAAAACAGCCAACUGGAGGGCAUGUUUCUAUUCAAACUGUAUGGGCAGCUAGACUCCUGCUUCUCAGUCUUAACAUAGAAGACAUCAUCAGGCUCACAAAGAAGAUGUUCUUCUCAUUUAGCCUUUCGGCAGUAAGAGCUCCCUCUUGGUUUAUUUCACCCUUAAGAUAAACUCUGG